rnacentral:rRNA from 1 species
GACGUAGGGUGCGAGCGUUGUCCGGAUUUAUUGGGCGUAAAGAGCUCGUAGGCGGCUCGUCGCGUCGACCGUGAAAACCCGCGGCUUAACUGUGGGCUUGCGGUCGAUACGGGCAUCACUGGAGUUCGGCAGGGGAGACUGGAAUUCCUGGUGUAGCGGUGAAAUGCGCAGAUAUCAGGAGGAACACCGGUGGCGAAGGCGGGUCUCUGGGCCGAUACUGACGCUGAGGAGCGAAAGCGUGGGGAGCGAACAGG